rnacentral:SRP_RNA from 1 species
GCCAGGCAUGGAGGCACAUGCCUGUAGUCCCAGCUAUUCUGGAGGCUGAGGCUGAAGUAUUACUUGAGCCCAGGAGUUUCAGGCUGCAGUAAGCUAUACUCACAGGGUGCCCACACUAAAUCCAGCAUCAAUGUGGUGACCUCCGAGAAACCAGGGAUUACCAGAUUGUGUAAGGAGAGGUGAACAGGGCAGGUUGGAAACAGAGGACACCAAAACUCCCAUGCUGAUCAGUAGUGAAAUUGUGCCUGUGAAUGGCCACUGCACUCCAGCCUGGCAACAUAGUGACAAACCAUCUCU